UAAGCAUCGAACAUGACCAAGCCAGCAUGACUCCCUCUGUCACUAGCAGGAAAGAAGCAUUCAAGCUCUGAACAAAGAAAUCGUCAUAUCUCAUCACGAAACACCUUGUGCUUUGGCAGCAUCACAGGAUCAGACAUGGGUUCAACAAGCUUCCCUUUCCCUCAGAAAUCUGCAGUUGCUCUCCAGCCUCCAAGCAACACUCAAAGGAUCACAGCAAUACUCAAGAAGUGCAAGUCUGACUCCUCAGAAUGGUCUGUUGUUUUUUUUUUUUUUUUAAAAAAAAAGGCAAAGAGAGGAAGGAAUGAGCGGGCACACAGAGAUUAUGUAAUAACCAAAACAAAAGCAGCUCAAACACAGCAGCGAGAAGUGAAAAUGCACAGCAAACCCAUGCGAGUCAGCCUGUCCCAUCAAAAACUCUGCAGAACACCACCCAAGGCAGACUUCCUAUUAGAGGGCUUUAGAACACAAGAGGCAAACGCAUAGAAAAUCUUAAGGCGGCAUUCCUAGCAAUAUUUCCUUUUCUUUCCAGUAAAAGUCAGCGUUUGUGAAAUUGCUGUCUAGCAGAGUCAGCAGGGCCCAAUGGAGACGUGACCUACAUACCUCAGAAAUACAAGAGAUACGUAGCCAGUCAUAUCCACACAGAUUUACAGAUGAGAUGGGCUAAUUGACUGGUAAAGGAUGGACACUGUGCAUGAAUCUGAAAAGGCAGAAAUUCAUGCGAGAAGCAAAAAACGGACAGUUUCCUGAGACCUCGCUUGUGGUAACGACAACAGCAGCAACCCCAAGCUCACAAAACGAAAGAGAGCCUUCUGGUUCAUCCUUAGCAGGCAGAAUUUGUAAUAUUUAUCUAAGCGAAGCACGGCAAUAAAUCCUGUGCAAGAUCUUCACCUGGGAAAGCUGAUGGAGCUGUAGGAAUCCACCACCACCCAAGCACCCGACGCUCCUGGUUCUCAGCUGUGUCUCUGUUCCUACCACCUUUUCAGUCCCCAAGCCUGGAGAAGGUGAAGGUCAUGCUGACAGAAACAUCUCCGGGCUCCCUUGCUGUAGGUGCCCACCUGCAUCUGGAAAUGCAGCCCACAAGAAGACUGCAAACGGAUCCACACUUAACAAUGCGCCCUGGGAGUCCCUCGACGCGGUGGAGCAGGAACGAGUCCAGUAGAAGGUUGAGGCACCUUCUUGGGACAAGCAAACGCAGAGGCUGUGUGCUGCUCCAGCAACGGCUGCUCACCCAUUUCUGCCCAGUGACCUCAGAUACACCUUCUGGACACCACACAGGUAGCCUGGCCUCCAUCUACAUCUUCAGUUCAUAAUGAAAACUGUUAGGAUCACGAUUUUUUCAUUCCUUCUCUCUUGCAGCAUAUCUGACGACACAGCAAAUGCCCAUAAAUUACACGCAUUUACAAGUUAUCAAAUAACAGUAACCCCAGAGGCUGACAAAUGAAAAAGAUUUUGAAAAAUGCCUUUACCAAUGACCUUGAGUUGAAGAGAAAUGAAUUGUUCAGCUGGCACAUGUUUUUACUUUAAGGGAGCAAUUGUGGACAACUCUACUCCAGCCUCCUAUGUGGGUUGAAAAUCUCAGAUUUCUUGUUCCUAGCCGUUUAUCCCAGCAUUUCACUGUCCACCCAGGCUGUUUUGUGUUGGUAAGGACCUCUAAUUGCUCUUACUUCAGGAGAGAAAGACGUACACAGUCUGACUGUGGUCAGACCCACGAACUUUGGCUAUCAAGACAUUCAAGCAUGGCUUCUGUCUUCUGCUUUCUCAACAGAAGCAAGCUAUUGAGACUAUUUGCAUUCUGGAGGGGAACCCUCCAAGGCAGUUAGAUUAACUAAUCAGUAGUUAUAUCAACAAGCACAGGAGCUGGAGGCUUCUCCCUCACAGCAGUCUUCCCUCUGCAAAUGGAGAGUGAGCCUUUCCCUGGCAGGCUGCAAAGAAAGAGACGUAAAUGUUUGAGCCUUCCAGCUGUCGAGCCGAUUCCUCAGCAGCCCUGUUCUCCAGUGGCCGCCUUGACAGGACCUUGUGGCACACAGAACCCAGUCAGAGGAGAACCAGGAAAGGGCUCCCCAAGAACAGUCCUGCCCAGACCACCUGGGCACACCAAAAAAACCCUCUGCAUUAUUUAUUUUCAAUAAAGCUUAUUUUUUUGUCCUGGUUUUCCUUAAAACAA